rnacentral:rRNA from 1 species
GAUGAACGCUGGCGGCGUGCCUAAUACAUGCAAGUCGAGCGAACAGACGAGGAGCUCGCUCCUCUGACGUUAGCGGCGGACGGGUGAGUAACACGUGGAUAACCGACCUAUAAGACUGGGAUAACUUCGGGAAACCGGAGCUAAUACCGGAUAAUAUAUUGAACCGCAUGGUUCAAUAGUGAAAGACGGUUUUGCUGUCACUUAUAGAUGGAUCCGCGCCGCAUUAGCUAGUUGGUAAGGUAACGGCUUACCAAGGCAACGAUGCGUAGCCGACCUGAGAGGGUGAUCGGCCACACUGGAACUGAGACACGGUCCAGACUCCUACGGGAGGCAGCAGUAGGGAAUCUUCCGCAAUGGGCGAAAGCCUGACGGAGCAACGCCGCGUGAGUGAUGAAGGUCUUCGGAUCGUAAAACUCUGUUAUUAGGGAAGAACAAAUGUGUAAGUAACUAUGCACGUCUUGACGGUACCUAAUCAGAAAGCCACGGCUAACUACGUG